rnacentral:lncRNA from 1 species
GUGGUAGACAGGGAGAGAUGGCCCAGGCGGGGCUUAAUCUUUAACCACAGUCCGCUAGCCCUGGGGCUGCACCUUUGUUUGGUUAAGCUCUGUCCUGACGUCUCCAUGGGGAGGGCGGAGUGAAUUGCUUCCUGUUGGCGGGGACAUAGCCUGGGCUCCAAGUCUGCUCGCUCCAGCUCCCUGCAGCCAAGAGCGUCUGGUCCACCGCAAGCUGGGGUGCUUAGUCGUCCUUCAGUUUAAAGGUAAAGGCAGAGUAUGCCCAGCCCAGCCGCAUGUGCACUGUGACCGGACAGCUCGAUCUGGCGUGAAGGAGAAGCGCCAGCCCCGUGCCAAGCUGGAGAACCUGGAACAGGUCCUGAAGGUAGGCUGGCUCCCUGCGCUUGUGACAGGACCGCUGUGGCGUCCAGCAGGAGGAGAGGCUGUGGAUUCCAGAGCAGAAACUAGCCAGGGCCAUUCUGCAGGCUUCAUCAGCCCUCGGGGCUGCUUUUCCCCUUUUGACAGAGUAUAAAAAGCAAUAAAUAACAAAAUUCACGUUUCUGGAAGCAAAUCCCACAGAGCCAGUUAUACAUUUCCUUUCCUGUGGGUGUUAAACACAGCUGAAUGGAGGGGGCUGGCAGCGUCCAGAACAGAAAUUGAGCCAACUCCUGUUAAAGCCCAGGUUGGUGUUGGUGUUGGUUUUCCAAACCUCGUGAAUUUUAAGCUGCUCCUCGGGUGCUUGGUGACCUUGGUUAUAAAGAGAAAGGCACGGUCAGGAAUUGCUUGACCAGAUGCAGGCAAGUGGGUGUUCCUCCCAGACUCUGAAUGAGUCUUUCUCAUUUAAUGGGGGAUUGAGUCGCUGUGGACAUGGGAG